GCGAUACUCGGAAUCACUAGGCGUAAAGCGCAGGUAGGCGGUUCGGUAAGUCUUUUGUGAAAGCUCCUGGCUCAACUGGGAGAGGUCAAAGGAAACUACCGGGCUAGAGUGUGGUAGGGGAUACUGGAAUUCCUGGUGUAGCGGUGAAAUGCGUAGAUAUCAGGAGGAAUACCUAUGGCGAAAGCAGGUAUCUGGGCCAUCACUGACGCUGAGCUGCGAAAGCUAG
rnacentral:rRNA from 1 species